rnacentral:tRNA from 1 species
UCUUAUAUAGUUUAACCCCCAAAACUUUAAUUUUGUAAAUUAAAAAUAUUAAUUAAAAACUUUAAUUAAUUAUAAGAU